GUUUGAUCCGUGCCAAUUGGCAAAGUAUUGCCAAUCACCCAAAAUUAUCCAAAAUCUUUCCCGAUCCUCCUGUCGUAGCUUUUCGGAAACCAGCAAGUCUAAAAGACUUAUUUGUGAAAGCUGCCGUCUCCUCUAAUAAAAGCUGUUCAACUACAGGAUGGUGCAAGUCAAGUGGUAACAAACGAUGUCUGACUUGCCAACAAAUACUGAAUACUUAAACAUUUACUUGCCACUCCACUGGGUCUGUGUACACAAUAUUUUGUAAUGUAACUUGCAAAACCCAGAAUGUUGUAUACAUUCUUCAGUGUCGAUGUGGCAUGCAGUAUGUUGGCGAGACAGAACAGCCAUUCAACAAACGCAUGAAUGGUCAUCGUUGUGACUACACCUGCAAGCCCGACCUCC
rnacentral:lncRNA from 1 species